UGCAUUAGAAAAGAUGGCAGCGAUUCGGCAAAAGCCUCUUUGAAGGUAGUGCGAAAUCGGUGAGGAACACCGAAAUGAACACAGAAUUGUUCUAAAACAUGUUGCCUAUAGGCCUAUGUAAAAUAAUUUAACUGAAUUAUAAGUUUCGCAUUCGCUAUUAGAAUGACACGUAUUCCUGAAGGCGUAUAAAUACUAGGUAUAUCCGGAUUUGUUUGUUUUUUAAUUUCAAUGCCCACUUCAGAAUGAAAAUGAAAGAUACCCACGGAACUUCCGAGGGGAUUGAAGAAAACCACACCUUGAAGAAACAUGGCGAAGAAACUCGGUACAGGUACAGGGACAGCGGGGAGCAGGCAAUCUGUUCGACAUUCAGAUUCCUCCAAAGAAGGCAGGUUAGACCUCCUCAGAUGUGCAACAACCUAUGAGAAGUUAUCUGGUUUCAUUGGCAUCUUGGACAACACCUGCAUCCACCCCUUUCAUUAUGGCCAGUCUUUGGAGUUGGAUGCAUUUUCGGUUAGAGUAAUGAGAGGUAUAUCAACUCAUGUUCUUAAUGCUCUUUAAACCUGCAUAAUUAGA